AAGACAGCUCCCCUGCGGAACCAGAGCUCAUUUGCUUGGGGAUACACAUUUCUAUUUCAAACUAUCCAAGGACACCAGCACAAACUACUGUAUUGUCAGCACAUUCUACAAGUGUUCUAAAUAUUUCAAGGUUCAAAUGGCAAUGAUCACCAGUCAUCAUGGGAUCUGUGGAACAUUUGUUAUUACUGCACUCAUCAUUGCAGGAUUUUUAAUUCUCGGUGUUAGUAGUUAUCAGGAAGAAAGAAGAGUCACAAUGACGACCAUCAUCUAAAGAGGAUUUCUAGGAUUAAGGCAUCCGAGGAAAGCUUGUUUAUUUAUGUUGGCUCUUAUCCCAUGCUCAUGACUACUGCAGUAUCUGAGUGCCUCCCAGUAGUGUAUUAAACAAUGUGA